rnacentral:rRNA from 1 species
UAGAGUUUGAUCCUGGCUCAGGACGAACGCUGGCGGCGUGCUUAACACAUGCAAGUCGAACGAUGACGAUGGUGCUUGCACCGUCUGAUUAGUGGCGAACGGGUGAGUAACACGUGAGUAACCUGCCCUCCUCUUCGGGAUAACCGCCGGAAACGGUGGCUAAUACCGGAUAUGAAUGCCUGCCGCAUGGUGGGUGUUGGAAAGAUUUAUCGGUGGGGGAUGGACUCGCGGCCUAUCAGUUUGUUGGUGAGGUAAUGGCUCACCAAGGCGAUGACGGGUAGCCGGCCUGAGAGGGCGACCGGCCACACUGGGACUGAGACACGGCCCAGACUCCUACGGGAGGCAGCAGUGGGGAAUAUUGCACAAUGGGCGAAAGCCUGAUGCAGCGACGCCGCGUGGGGGAUGACGGCCUUCGGGUUGUAAACCUCUUUCAGCAGGGAAGAAGCGAGAGUGACGGUACCUGCAGAAGAAGCGCCGGCUAACUACGUGCCAGCAGCCGCGGUAAUACGUAGGGCGCAAGCGUUGUCCGGAAUUAUUGGGCGUAAAGAGCUUGUAGGUGGCUUGUCGCGUCUGCCGUGAAAACCCGAGGCUCAACCUCGGGCGUGCGGUGGGUACGGGCAGGCUAGAGUGUGGUAGGGGAGACUGGAACUCCUGGUGUAGCGGUGAAAUUGCGCAGAUAUCAGGAAGAACACCGAUGGCGAAGGCAGGUCUCUGGGCCAUUACUGACACUGA